GUGGGGAAUUUUGGACAAUUGGGGCAACCCUGAUCCAGCCAUCCCGCGUGUGCGAUGAAGGCCUUCGGGUUGUACAGCACUUUUGGCAGGGAAGAAAAGGUUCUGAUUAAUACCUGGAGCCGCUGACGGUACCUGCAGAAUAAGCACCGGCUAACUACGUGCCAGCAGCCGCGGUAAUACGUAGGGUGCAAGCGUUAAUCGGAAUUACUGGGCGUAAAGCGUGCGCAGGCGGUUCGGAAAGAAAGAUGUGAAAUCCCAGGGCUUAACCUUGGAAUGGCAUUUUUAACUACCGGGCUAGAGUAUGUCAGAGGGGUGUAGAAUUCCACGUGUAGCAGUGAAAUGCGUAGAGAUGUGGAGGAAUACCGAUGGCGAAGGCAGCCCCCUGGGAUAAUACUGACGCUCAUGCACGAAAGCGUGGGGAGCAAACAGGAUUAGAAACCCCUGUAGUCC
rnacentral:rRNA from 1 species